rnacentral:rRNA from 1 species
GAAAGCGUAACAGCUCACUGAUCUAGCGAUUCUGCGCUGAAAAUAUAACGGGGCUAAGAUACGCACCGAAGCUUUAGAUUCGUAUUUAUACGAGUGGUAGGAGAGCGUUCCAAACAGCGUUGAAGGUAUACCGGUGAGGAGUGCUGGAGCGUUUGGAAGUGAGCAUGCAGGCAUGAGUAGCGAUAAAAGCAGUGAGAAUCUGCUUCGCCGUAAACCCAAGGUUUCCUACGCGAUGCUCGUCAUCGUAGGGUUAGUCGGGACCUAAGUCGAGUCCGAAAGGGGUAGACGAUGGCAAAUCGGCUAAUAUUCCGAUACCGACAAUUGUUCGUUUGAGUGAUGGGGGGACGCAUAGAGUUAAUCGAGCUCACUGAUGGAAUAGUGGGUCGAAGGACGUAGGCUGAAACACAGGCAAAUCCGUGUUUCGUUAGGCCGAGAUCUUACAGGCUCUUCAAGGACUUCGGUCUGCGAGGAGAAUCGAUGAUACUGUCG